AUUAGGGUGGCAGAGACCGGUUAUUGCAUAAAACUUAAACUUUUACAAACAGAGGUUCAACCCCUCUCCCUAAU
rnacentral:tRNA from 1 species